rnacentral:lncRNA from 1 species
UUUGAAAAUUACAAAUCACUGGAUGAAUAUUCUCCAACUGGCUUGUCAGAUUUAUUUGGCCCCAUAACAGAUUCUGCUGCACCAGCUUUGGCACCUGCUGUUCAGAUAUUCAGUGUACUGCAUGACAUUCUCUCCAAAGAAGCACAAGACAUACUUAGGAACUAUUUGCAGGUCAGACACCACAGACACUUGUUUUGAGCAGUUUGCGUUUCAAUGCCAUCUUCAGCAAUGAUAAGGAAUGUUGCAUAUUGCAUGGUGCAGAAUUCGAACAAUCAAUCUAAAACGACUUCAUCUAUGAUCAGUAACAUGUGAUGGAUCAUUAUGAAACUACAUUAUACAAAUUGCAAACAUUUUAACAUAAUGCAGUAAUUUCCCAUAAUGUUAGAUUAGAUGAAGUUGAUUGUUCCAACUCUGCACCAUGAUGAGGUGGUACGACUAGCAUAUAGUAUGGUUUUCCAACUCUGCAACAUAAUGCAGUAAUUUCCCAUAUGGUCGUUUGAAAUUUAUCAUAUCCAUCCUUGUCAGAAUGGAUAUAUCUAGUCCAAUUAGCAGACUACACUGAUGUAUCAUUUACGUAUUAUGGUGCAAAAUUACCGUCAACAGAAAAAAUCUAUAGCAUAAUUGCAUUUAAACUAGCAAAAGUGACGAUUAGUCAUUGUUUUCCUUUGAUUCUUUUUUAAAGGCAAUAACAUAAAGACUCUUUUACAGAUUGCUGCUGCGAAAAGGUGCAGGAGGCAUAUGAUCGAGACAGAUGAAUUCUUAUCAAGCAAUAACGACAGUCUUCUUACGGACCCUAUGACUAUAUCUGCUGCAUAUCUUAAAAUGAAGACAUUGUGCAUUAACAUGAGUCGUGAAAUUCAAGCUGACAUUAAGAUUCACAACCAGAAUAUACUUCCAAGGUAGCAUAUAUGCUUCCAAGUAAUAGGAUUUUCUUCUGUUUAUCCACAUGUUGGAUUCUCUCACAAAUUUGAGUUUUCUUUUAGUUCCAUAGAUCUGCCAAACAUAGCAGCAUCCCUAUAUAGUACCGAACUCUGCAAGCGGCUGAAAGGUUUUCUUUCUUCAAGUCCCCCAUCAAGACCAGUACAACAUGUUGCUGAACUGAUAACCGCAACUUCUGAGUUUGAGAGAGAUCUUGAAUCUUGGCAAGUGAGGUAAGAUAUUGAUAUUCCUUUUUGGAACAUGAGUUAGCAAUACUAGCCAUGUUUAGCUGAUGUAUUUUUGUUCUGUUCACACAAUUGUUGUAGACCUGUUCAUGGCGGCGUAAUUUCGAGACAGCUCUUUCAUGACUACAUCAUGGUGUGGAUUGAAGACACUCGAUUGCAGUUACUUGAUAAUUGCAAAGCUGAGAAGGUAAUAAACACAUACUUCCUCCUUCCAAAAUUUAAGGUUUUUAGUUUGUCAAAUCAAACUUCUAUAAAUUUGUUUUAGUUUAUAGAAAUUCACCAACAUCUACAACAUCAGACUAGUUUUGUUAAAUCUACCAUGAAAUGUCUUGUGGAUGUUGACAUAUUUUGUUGUAAACUUGGUCAAAAGCUAGAGAAGUUUGACUUGUGAAACGGAGGUACUACAAGGCAAGAAAUAUAGAUCAUAUGGAUGACCUUUAGCUGUUGAACUUAAUUGAUUUCAUUCACCUCUCUUUGCAGAUAUCAUGCCCUGCCGUGUCAACAGUCUCGCCAUUUGUUGAGCAAAUGUAUGAGCAAAUAAAAGAGAGCAUAAAUGAGUAUGGAGUGGUUAUCAAUAGAUGGCCUCAAUAUCUGAUGAGUUUAGAGAGUGUAUGUACACAACUGCAUUCUUUGAAACAGACCUCAUAUUUCUCCUACAAUUGAGUCAACUUAUAUUUCUUUUCUUUUUCAGGCUGUUGCUGAUGUUGAGAGAGAAAUUAUGAAGGCACUGGAGAAGCAAUACAUGGAUAUUCUAAUGCCCCUAAGAGAUGGCAUACCAGAAAAAAUUGAGAAGCAGGUCCAGAGAUUAACAAGAAGACAAUCUAUAGCUCCCUAUGUUGUGCCAAAUCAGGUAGAUAUGCGUGCAAGAUAUUAUGGAGCUUGAUGUGAUGGUUAGUUCACGACUGACCAGUUUGCUGUUCUUAAUCACAGUUAGGAGCAUUCAUGAACACAGUAAAAAGGAUGCUAGAUGUGUUACACUGCCGAGUCGAAGACAUUCUCAAGUCAUGGGCAGCGUACCUUACUAUAUCAUGUGGGAACACUGUUUUUGGAGAGCAAAUGAACUCCAUCACAGUCAUGCUGAAGAAGAAGUACAAGAAAUACCUGCAAGCGAUAGUGGACAAGCUUGUCAGCAACGUAAGAAUGAUUUUUCAUGCUUUAUAACAAGUUCCACUCUUGGUCCAGAGCUAACUAAGGCAAUUUGCAUAUAGACGGAGCUCAUAGUUUUUCUUUUGGGUUUUUUUUUCAGACACAAGCUAAUCGGAAUACGAGACUCAAGCGAAUUCUUGAAGAAACAAGAGAGGCUGAUGGUGAAAGUGAUAUACGAGAUAGGAUGCAGGCUGUCCGCCUCCAGCUCUCGGAUUCAAUUCACAAUCUGCAUGAGGUCUUCUCCAGCAGAAUAUUUGUUGCUAUUUGCCGAGGUUUCUGGGAUCGGUUAGGCCAGGUAAUAAACGUGGCAACAGCAAAAGUACUUUGAAUAUUUCCGUUUGCUGUGAAUGCUUAUUAUGCCAAACUCACUUUGAGCAGAUUGUGUUGAGAUUUCUUGAGAGCAGAAAGGAGAACAGGAUUUGGUACCGAGGAUCUGACUAUGCUCUAGGGGUAAGCCUCAACUUAUAUUGGGACUAGCAAUGCCAAUGAAUGAAAAUCAAUUGUGUUGGGGCUAUUAGCAUGUAAAAUGGAAUUGAGCAGCAUAACCUGAUACUUUUACAUGCAGAUCCUUGACGAUGUCUUUGCAUCGGAGAUGCAAAAGCUGCUGGGCAGCGCUCUGCAGGACAAGGACCUGGAUCCACC